rnacentral:rRNA from 1 species
GACGAACGCUGGCGGCGUGCUUAAUACAUGCAAGUCGAACGGACAGGCCCUGCUUUUGCUGGUUUCUCGUGUGGCGAACGGGGGAGUAACACGUGUGUAACCCGCCCUUGACAUUGGGAUAACUUUACGGAACUGGGGCUAUUAUCGGAUAGGAUCUCUUGCUGCACGGUGGUGGAUGGAAAGUUUCGGCGGUUGGGGCUGGACUGGCGGCUUAUCGGCUUGUUGGUGGGGUAGUGGCUUACCAAGGCUUCGACGGGUAGCCGGCCUGGGAGGGGGACCGGGCACAAUGGGACUACGAUACGGCGCAGAAGCGUACGGGAGGCAACAGUGGGGAAUAUUGCGCAGUAGGGGGAAGCGAGAGGCGGCGACGCCGCGUGCGGGAUGACGGCCUACGGGGUGUAAACCGAUUUCUACUGUGACGAAGCGUGAGUGACGGUAAUGAGUAAGGAAGCACCGGCUAACUACGUG